rnacentral:rRNA from 1 species
UACGUAGGGUGCAAGCGUUAAUCGGAAUUACUGGGCGUAAAGCGUGCGCAGGCGGUUUUUUAAGCCAGAUGUGAAAUCCCCGAGCUUAACUUGGGAACUGCAUUUGGGACUGGAAGGCUAGAGUACGGCAGAGGGGGGCGGAAUUCCACGUGUAGCAGUGAAAUGCGUAGAGAUGUGGAGGAACACCGAUGGCGAAGGCAACCCCCUGGGCCUGUACUGACGCUCAUGCACGAAAGCGUGGGGAGCAAACAGG